rnacentral:rRNA from 1 species
AGCGUAUAUUAAAGUUGUUGCGGUUAAAAAGCUCGUAGUUGGAUUUCUUCCAGGGGCAGUCGGUCCACACUACGUGUGCGUAUCUGAUUUGACUUUGGAAUCCUCUUGGGGAACAUCUCUGCGCUUAACUGCGUGGAAUGGUAUUCAAGACUUUUACUUUGAGGAAAUUAGAGUGUUCACGGCAGGCAAUCGCCCUGAAUACAUUAGCAUGGAAUAAUAAUAUAGGAUUUCGGUUCUAUUUUGUUGGUUUCUAGAGCUGAAAUAAUGAUUAAUAGGGACACUUGGGGGCAUUCGUAUUAUCACGUCAGGGGUGGAAUUCUUGGAUUGUGUUACGACGAACUACUGCGAAAGCAUUUGCCAAGGAUGUUUUCAUUGAUCAAGAACGAAAGUAAGGGGAUCGAAGACGCUUAGAUACCGUCGUAGUCUUUACCAUAAACUAUGCCAACUAGGGAUUGGAGGGCGUUCUUCAUUCGACUCCUUCAGCACCUUAUGAGAAAUCAAAGUUUUUGGGUUCCGGGGGGAGUAUGGUCGCAAGGCUGGAACUUAAAG